GACGAACGCUGGCGGCGUGCUUAACACAUGCAAGUCACGGGGUCCGCAAGGAUAACCGCGAACGGUGCGUAACACGUGAACAACCUGCCCUCGUGUGGGGGAGUAGCCAUGCUAACGCGUGGGUAAUACCGCAUACGUUCUCUUUGGGGAGUCCCGAGGAGAGGAAAGCUCCGGCGCACGGGGAGGGUUCGCGGCCUAUCAGCUAGUUGGCGGGGUAAUGGCCCACCAAGGCGACGACGGGUAGCUGGCUGAGAGGAUGGCCAGCCACAUUGGGACUGAGACACGGCCCAGACUCCUACGGGAGGCAGCAGUGGGGAAUUGGUUCGCAAUGGGCGC
rnacentral:rRNA from 1 species